GAGGUCUGGUCGAUCAAGAACAGGAGAGGGCGACCUCCCUCAUCCUCAAAACCCUAAAAUUCACUAAACCCACAAAUUGAAGGCUCAAUCCAAGUUGAAAUCAAAAUCUGAACAUGGAAUCGUGAUCACCUCGUCAAAAGAAGUCAUAAGUUUGACGCUAAACGAGCUAGGUGGAAGCUUGAGGACGAAGCGGGUCAAACAAAUCAAUAAGGAAAAGUAAGGCAUAGUUUGGAUGCGAGGAUGAAUCGGCCUAUGAAUUAGCGAUGCUAUGAAUUAGCGAUGCUAUGAAUUAGCGAUUAUUGAGACAAUGUAUUAAAACGGGUCAAUAUGUUGAUCCGAACCAGGUGAAUGUUAUAUGCUUCCGCAUGAAGAUCAAGCCACGAGCAAGAACCGAACAUACCUCUCAAUGAAGCUUCCGCAUUCGAUCUAGUUUUCUUUUAAUAAAAGUGGAUUAUGUAAACACUUUUAACGAUGUUUUGGAUGUUGUAAACAUGUUUAAAUACUUAUGAUGUAAAAGUUUUUGUUAAGUGGCAUUUUUCAUAUAAA
rnacentral:lncRNA from 1 species